rnacentral:rRNA from 1 species
CAGCAGCCGCGGGAAUACGUAGGGCGCAAGCGUUAUCCGGAAUUAUUGGGCGUAAAGAGCUCGUAGGCGGUUUGUCGCGUCUGCCGUGAAAGUCCGGGGCUCAACCCCGGAUCUGCGGUGGGUACGGGCAGACUAGAGUGAUGUAGGGGAGACUGGAAUUCCUGGUGUAGCGGUGAAAUGCGCAGAUAUCAGGAGGAACACCGAUGGCGAAGGCAGGUCUCUGGGCAUUAACUGACGCUGAGGAGCGAAAGCAUGGGGAGCGAACAGGAUUAGAUACCCCCGUAGUCCCUGUCUCUUAUAC